rnacentral:lncRNA from 13 species
AUGGUGUUGUUCAUCCCUGAUAUGGCUGGUCAUCUGUUUUUGGUCAUCCUCCUUUUCGUCACCUUCCAAUACAUCGAAGCCCAAGGUCCUUAUCCAAAACCAGACAUUACAAUCAAAUUUGAUGAGGACCUCAACAUCAUCUGUUUGAUUCCUGGAUCCUUCAGUCCUGACACCACCUGUAACCUGUAUGUUGGAGAGGAGAGUCAGCCAUCCUUCACAGUAAAGAUCAAGAAGAGAAAACCCCUCUCAGCAUCCGGACAGCAGUUCUGUCAAUUCACUCCAAAACAUCUGAUCAGUCGUCUACAGUCAGUGAGGCGUAAGGAGGUGAGCUGUGACUAUAGAGUGAGCUCAGGACCAAACUCUUUCUCUCCACGCAGUGAUGGGUACAGCUUUGCACAUCUGGUGGGAGUUCAUAUCAGUGAUCCAACAACUAUGCAGACACCUUCUAUAGCAGAAACCGUAUUUGUCAUCCUGACUCCUCAUUCUACUGAAUCAACCGCUCCACUCGUCACAACCUCAGAGAUCUCUACAGGAAACACCACUGACCCCACACGGACUCCAAUGGAGAAAGAGCCCCUUGAUUUCCUGUGGCGUCACAUUCUCACUGUGCUGUUCCUACUGGCUACUUGUGGAGUACUUAUAUCCUAUGUCAUCUCCCAUCAAUGCCCUAAAGCUAUUCCAAAGAGAAGCAGGAGGGUGGACCAGAGAAAUGAAGACUUUUCGUUGACAGUGUGCUGAAUCACCGUGCAAACCUACAAACACACACACACACACACACACACACACACACACACAGACUUAUUUUUACAUUUAAAAAUAAAUAGUUUUACGUUUUUUGCAUCUUUGAGAUUUCUGUGAUUUUUCUUUUGAAGUUGAGUGCAUGAUGGUGUUGCUAGGCAAGUUGAAAACUUAAUGUACAUAGUGUACAUACAUAAAUUGGCUGUACAAAACAUUAAGAACACCCUCCCCCCAGUUUGAAGUUAAUUACUAACUAGCGUUAGGGGCAUGGACUCUACAAGGUGUUGAAAGCGUUCCACAGGGAUGAUGACUCCAAGGCUUUCCACAAUUGUGUCAAGUUGGCUGGCUGUCUUUUGUGUGGUGGACCAUUCUUGAUACACAUGUGAAACUGUUGAGCAUGAAAAACCCAGCAGCGCUGCAGUUCUUGACACAAACAGGUGCGUCUGGCACCUACUACCAUACCCCACUCAAAGGCACGUAAAUACUUUGUCUUUCCCAAUCGAUGUCUCAAGGCUUAAAAAUCUCCACCCCUUCAUCUACAAUACUUUAAGUGGAUUUAACAAGUGACAUCAAUAAGGGAUCACAGCUUUCACCUGAAUUCAAAAGGUCAUGGAAAGAGCAGGUGUUCAUAAUGUUUUGUUUUGUACACAUAUCCAUCCAUUUGCACACAUACAUUUUUGUUUAACACCACUUUCCUUCCUUUUCUAUAAUCUUUGUUGAAAUUGACUGCAUGAUAGUGUUGAAGGCAAGUUGCACACAGCAAUGUUUAUUAUUAAAUAUUUUCAAAUAACAGUUUCUCUCAGGGGUUCUUUAUUUAUUUACACAUAUUAUGUAAUAGUAUGUUUAGCCUGGGUGUGUCACAUUCUGACCUUUAUUUCCUUUGUUUUGUCAUUAUUUAGUAUGGUCAGGGCGUGAGUUGGGGUGGGCAGUCUGUUUUUCUAUGAUUUUGGCCUAGUAUGGUUCUCAAUCAGAGGCAGGUGUCAUUAGUUGUCUUUGAUUGAGAAUCAUACUUACGUAGCCUGGGUUUCACUGUGUGUUUGUUUUCGUGUCUGUUUUUCACCACACAGUACCGUUUUGGGUUUCGUUCGUUCCACGUUUAUUAUUUUUGUAUUCAGUUGUGUUCAUGUUGAGUAUUUCUUAUUAAAAGAACCAUGGACACUUACCACGCCGCAUAUUGGAUUCCAACCAUUGUUUACAGACAGAUUAUUUCACUGUAUCGGAAUUCAAUUGGGUCAAAAGUUUACAUACACUAAGUUGACGGUGCCUUUAAACCGCUUGGAAAAUUGAUGUAAUGGCUUUAGAAGCUUCUGAUAGGCUAAUUGACAUAAUUUGAGUCAUUGUGAAAAUUAAAAGAAAUCAGCCAAGACCUCACAAAAAAAAUUGUAGACCUCCAC